rnacentral:tRNA from 1 species
AGUAGAAUGGCUGAGGAAAAUAGGUAAUAGAUUGUAAAUCUAUGAAGGGGUUAAUACCCUUCUACU